CAAGAAGUAGUUUAAUUAAAAAUAUUAAUUUUGGAGAUUAGUGAUAGGUUUUUUCCUUUUCUUGA
rnacentral:tRNA from 1 species